GUUUUUUCGGUAUCUGGUUACUGGUUCCUACUCCUCGCUCCUGCUUUUGGCUCUGGAAAAUUCCAGAUGAGUACAGGAGACGACAGUAUGUAGGAUGUGUGUGGUAAGAAGGAAGUUCGUGUGGGGGCAGGGCUGUGGCAGAGGAUGACCCAAAGAACUGGGCCCGAAAAAACAAGCCCAUGGACUGAGGCGAGCCAACAAAUCACUACCAAUCGCACAAACAAAAGCGAACAGCUCCGGCGGAGAACAAGGGCGAGAACGUGGACGAAAGAGGAGGGAGGCAGGUUCACCUGGCAACAAACGAGCAACAUUGUCAGCGGCAGGUCAUGUCACACUGCAGUGUCAGAGGCAGAGAUAGCAACAGCGACAGAGAUGGAUCUGGGAUCUGGAGGGGCGGCCACCUGCAGUUCAUCUCGUUAAAGGAGUCCCUGUCCCCCGCUUUCCCUCCCCCUAUCAGCGACGCGUCUAAUACGCCAAUUCAAAGGAGUUGUCGGAAAAUGAUAAUCGGGCAGAGGCGCGGGCGGUGGCGGUGGGGGAUGGGAACGUGCGGAAAAUGUUUAUCCAACUCGAGAAAUGGUGUGGCUGGUGGCCUGCCGCCAUCCUGCACUUGCGUAAAUUUAUGCUUACACACAUUUUGUCAACAUCUGCAGCAUAUUCACAACUUUCCAGAUACGUUUCUUUCCUCAACCAGAGCCCCCGCCCCUACAACGCUCUUCUGAGCAGACACAUCGCUGGAUGUCGGUAGAUAUUUGCAUUUUAUGUCUAUAUGCAAAUCUCUACAGGAGACCAAAAGAGGAGCAGGAAAAGUGGAGUAGGAGCAGCAGCAGCAGCAUUCAGUUGAGGAAGAUGAGGGCGUUGAAGAUGACGGUGCACACGCGGCGUAUACGUGCUGCAUUAACAUAUCAAUCAUACAGAGGUGGAGGCAGAGGCAGUGGCAGAGUCAGUGGCAGAGACCAUUCUUCCUUCCUACGGCUUCUCGGAGCAGAGCAAACAUUUGCUUGAUGGAAUGAGCCGCCCGAGCGCGAUAAAGAUGAAUGAAUGUUUGCCAAGAUAUGGGCACCCACUCGUCUUGGAAGGGGCCACAAAACUUGGCCCAUAAAUCCAGCCAGCCAUUGAAUGGUAUCCCAUCCAUUCGCCAUUCAAUUCCUCGGCGCAAUUGUCAUGCGCCUUGUUGAAAAGUUGAUUGCCGUGCCACAGGCCGUGGGCCGGGGAUCAAUAAAUUAAUGCCAACAACUAACAACAUUGUCAGCGAUGUAUCGACUUCCUACUCAACAAUAGUAAUUGUUGUUCUGAUUGUUUAAUUGCGGAUAUUUUGUGGGCAGUUUCCGGCUGCAAUGAACGCACACGCACGUGCCUCACGGAUACAAAUAAGUGCUGAAUAAAUAAAUUUUCCAAUAUAAAAAUCAGUUUUUCAAUUUCGCAGUUUUCAUUCAUCGCCCCCUCCCUCCCCGCCUGUACACAAAUUAGCGGCACUCAUUUCGUCAAUAGGCAUUUAAAUCAUUUUGCCAGUUGAACAUUAUUUUCUGGCAUUUAUUUGAUAUGUAUUUCGAUUACGCAUAUCCUGCCCGAGAAAUCGGGGUAGGCUCGUUUUAGCUGUUUGCAUAUGAGGGACCCAUGACCCAUGGCUCGUGGCUUACGGCCAUUAAACUGACUUUUAGCAUUUUAUACAAAUGUACGCAUUUGUGGGCCAUAAUUUUCGUUUGUAUAUUUGUCCUUCCUUUUAAAGAGAGA
rnacentral:misc_RNA from 1 species